CUGAUACCUGGUACUUUUUUUGUGGUUUCAGUUUUGCAGCUCUUAGCAUCUUUUAAAAAUUCAUUUUUGUGGGCACUUUGAGUACACACAGUCAACAGUGAAAUCUUACCUUCACUUCAACAUCCUUCUAUGUGGUUUGGGAAGUCCCAAACCAUUAGUUGUCAGCUCCACGGAGUUCCAUGCACGUGUCCUGGAGGGAGUUCCCAAAGGUGAAAUGAAGACUUGGAAAUGUGAGUAAGUUCUGAGCAGCAGUAACUACAGCAUCACAGCUGUGAACGCAUUUUUUGGAGAUGUUAGAAGGGCGCUUGAACUGUUUACCUUCAUUUCUACCCAUCUCUGCUGCUUAGCAAUCAGGACUUCCCUUCGAAAGAACACAGGAGUAGUCCCAAGCUGGCCUCCUGUUCUUAAAAAUGCCCCAAUUAAGGAGGGAAGAGUCCAGGGAGCAGAUAAAAGUAAGAGAAGGGAUUUGCAAGGGCUGUGGCUAAUAAGUUUGGGUAUUUUGACUAAAUAUACUCCAUACCAUCAAAUGGCUUUAACCAAAGGCUAGACAAAUGGCCUCAAGCCAACAAGCUUCCCAAGAGAGAAAGUAUUUUUCUCCAAUGAGCUCAAUUCAAAGGGUCCACCUAGUCCAUGAAAUUUCUCGUUUUUGCUGUCCUAAUGGGGCUAAACUGAGGCUGGAGCUCUCUUAGCUUUGAAAUUUGCAGUUUUAGCCACUGUUUCCCUUUCUGAGUAACAGUGAUGGUUUAUUAGAGGCAGAAGAUGGUGAGGUGGAAGAGUUAUCAGUGAUCAUCUAGUUUAGACUUGGCAUAGCAUGUUUAUUCAACUGCUCUCUAAGAGGCUUGACUAAAUAAGGACUACCAUUUGGAGAAGCAUGAUGCCAGUAGCAGAAAAGAGGGAUUCCAUCUUAGAACCAAAGGUCAUGCUAUUUGGCCUUCAAGAUCUCCACAAUUGGCCUCCAGGUAGUGCUUGGCCCAGUGCUGAUCCCUGCAUGUGCCUGAGGAAGCCCAGGAUUCCUCUAGAGUCUUCUAACAGGAAGAACUCCACACGUGGCUCCUGCCUUCCCAGGGCUUCCCACCAGCCCUGCACAUGGAAUGGCUUAGUGAGCAGCC
rnacentral:lncRNA from 1 species